AGGAUAAAGCCUUCUGCUGAUAUCUAUAAUAUUCCUUCUAAACCCUCCACAAUGGCUCAUUAUAUCAGUUAGGGUUAUUGAAAUAAAAUAAAUCCUAAUGGAAUAACCUUAGAAAUCCUAGCUCUUAAUACAGGUAAAAGGCCUGGUCAACGGCUUUUUUUAAAAUGAAAACCAUAGUUUCCCCCCUAUCGUGAAGUAAUAAUAACCAAUCUUAUCUGUGGUUUAGGCAACGUGUGGUUUUUCAGGCUUCGGCCCUAUCAGCUUUCAUUGGUAUUGUAUGGACUAACCUGGGCACUAACGGUAAUCAAAAAAA
rnacentral:rRNA from 1 species